GCCAUCUCUCCAGCCCCCCAAUUAUUUUCUUUAUUAAACCAACCACAGUGCCAUAUAUUCACACAGUGUAAAGGAAUAUUCCACGAAUGAGGAACCUUUCUUUCUAAUUUCUUUUUUAGGUUUAUUUAUUUGUGUGUAUAAAUGUUUUGCUUGCAUGUAUGUAUGUGUACCACACACAUGCAUGCUACCAAUGGAGGUCAAAAGAGGGCAUCAGAUUCCCUGGAACUGGAGUUACAGAUGGUUGGGGGCCACCAUGUGGGUUCUGGGAAUCAAACUGCUGCAAGAACAACACAUCUUAACUGAUAAGCCUCUUGUUUGUUUUCUGGAUAAUUAUUUUAACUGAGAUGAGAUGGAAUCUUAAAACAGUUUUAAUUAGUAUUUCUCUGCAAAGAGUGUUAAACACUUUAAAAAUAUACUGGCCUCUUAUGUUUCUUCUUUUCAGGGCUGUAUUCAAUUUAUUUUUUUCAUUUAUUAAUCAGAAGACUUGCGGUUUUGUUUUGUUUUUCCAAAAGCACUGUUUUAUUUAUACAGAGUCCUAACUAGUUCACAGGCAGGAGGAGUGGAAGAGGUUCCAUCUUCAACCCAGAGGCCUCUAUGACGUUGGUUUGCUGUUACCACACACACAGGCAAGCGGCAUCAUGGAUUUGGUAGACUAAUAGCAACGUUCAGUCUCUCUCUGCUAGAGCAACAAGGUGGGCAUCGAUCUCUGCUUCUGAGAGAAUUCUGAAUUUAGGAUUUUCAACUGUAACUACUCCAACUUCAAUUUCUGAAGGUUUGAAAUCAAUCGGCAGAACAGUAGACAGGCAUGUAAUUGCAGUUUCCACUGUUUGUUCAAAUGUCCAAUCAAAUUUCUCCUUUACUUUUUUUUUUCAAGAAAGAUGGUUGAUCUGUCUGUUUAACUCCUGCUGUGAUGGCUUUAAAGCCACAGUAGUAGCCUGCAGGAUCACACUUGUACACUUGAGGGCCUUGUUCUUCGUCUAUACCAAUUAAAAUCAUACAACAACCAAGCAGCCUCAUUUCAGCAUUCUGUGUGUAGACUUGAGAAAUAUCAGCAACUCUUUUGCACAGCAUGUCCACAGGAAUCUCAUAGCUGUAUUUGUAUUUCCAAUUAGCUGCCUCAUAGCGUGCCCUCUGUACCUGGGAUCUGCUGUCAGCUGUCAUCCCAGUCAUCACACAGCCAGUGUUUUCAGUUAUUUUGAACAAGUGAGUCACGGUGCUGGAAUCCAAUAAUUUGUCAGUGAAAGACCCCGAAGAGGCACUUUCGUAGAGGGAGACCCACACACCCAGGAAUCAGCGAGGCCACGAACUGGAUGCAAAAAAACAAGAGGCUUUAUUGGAGACGCAGGUACCUGGGGCGACUUAGCUUCUGUGUGGCUAAGCGCGCCCGCCCCAAGGGAAAGGCGUCCUUAUAUAGGGAAAAAGGCGCAAGCUAGGAGCAGGGAUUCUAUUUGAUGGUUCAAAUGAGGCACAGAGCCAUUCCAGAUCAGCAUAUUCUCAAGGUCUGGUGUCUGGUACAACAGACUUGAUUCCUCCCUCCGCGCCCAGGUGGCUGACCUUGGGGGCGGAGACCUUGGGACGGAGCGGUCCGGCGGGGGCCGGGGCCGGCGGCGGGGAAGUGCCGGCAGCUGUGGGGAUCAAGGGUCAGGGGGUGCAGGAGAGGAUGUAUUCGCCAGCUGCAUGCGGGAAAACUUAAAAGAGAAAGCUAAGGGCGGGGGUCUUUCAUUCCCCCAUUUCUCUUGUAACUGAAUGGAAUCUUUCAUUCAGAGGUCUCUGGUUAAGUCUUUCUCUAAGCUUGGCCAUGCUCUGUGGGGAUCAAGGGUCAGGGGGUGCAGGAGAGGAUGUAUUCGCCAGCUGCAUGCGGGAAAACUUAAAAGAGAAAGCUAAGGGCGGGGGUCUUUCAGUCAGGUACUUUCUUCUGUGUGACAAUUACUGCACAGUCUUUUCCUCUGAUGGCCACAGAUGUGAGUCCAUCUUGGUUAAUAGUCUUAAAAGCAUAUUUUACCUGGUAGAGUCGGCCCUCGGGAGAGAAAAUAGAAAUGUGGCGGUCAAAACCGGCGCUGGAACCACGGGACAUGAUGUUCCCGCUAUUUCAAGCACACACUGCACCCCAUAGCGCACACACCAGGCACACCAACCCCGCCCCAGAUGUGAUUGCCCCGGUUUUGUUUUUUGUUUGUUUAUUUUUUUUUAAUUUUGGAGACAGGGUUUCUCUGUGUAGCCUUGGCUAUCCUGGAACUCACUCUGUAGACCAGGUUGGCCUUGAACUCAGAGAUCUGCCUACCUCUGGCUCCCAAGGUAGGAUUAAAGGUGUUAACCACCUCUGAUAAGCAAGGAAGACUUGUUUUUUUUGUUUUUUUUUAUGCUUAAAUUUUGAUAUCCUUUAUACAUUCUAGAUACUAACCUCUUCCUGAAGUAUAGUCAGUCAAGCCCUGCCAUUCUGUAGACCGUCUCUUCACUCUGCUAAUUAUCCUUGGCUACUCAGGAAGUUUUACAUUUUCUGUCCUCCCUGUUGUCCGUCCUUAGGUGCUGCUGUCGGAGUCCUUUUCAGAAAGUGCUUGCCCAUGUCCGUCUUUAAGUGCUCCCCAUUUUCCCCUAGCAGCUUUAACACUUAAUUUUUAUAUUAAGCUCUUUGAUGUUUAGUCUGUAUUAGAGUCCAUAAUCUUUUGAAUUGAUUUUUAUACAAGGUAAAAGAUAUGGAUCUGCUUUUGUUAUUCUGCUUGUGGCUUGGCUAUCCAGUUCCUUUUCACCAUUUAUUGAAAAGGCUUUGCCCUCUAGUUUCUGACACCUUUCCAAAAGGAGGCUGGAACUGUGUGGACCAUUGGAUUGCUGAUGGAGAUUGCAUUGAAUCUGUAGCCUGUUUUCAGAAAUGUAGCCAUUUCCACACUAUCCAGUCAAUCCACGAACAUGGAAUCCAUGAGCCUUUCUACUUCCUGGUGUCUUUCUUCUUAGAUUUCCCAAUGUCUUCCUUUCUCUUCUUUGGUUUACUUUGAGCUGCUUUUAAAAAGCUGAUGUAAAUGGGGUAUUUUCCUAAUUUAUGUCUUGGCAAGCUUGUUAUUGGUAUGUUGAAAAGCCUCUGGUUUUGUAUGUUGAUUUACCAUCCUGCUGCUGAAAUCCAGCAAUUAUUUUACAGCUUUGUUAUAAAGGAUGGGAGGGAGGUUCCCCCAGGAAAUGGCAGUUAGAUGAAGUUGUUUAGUCAGGAUAGAAGUUUUAAAAGCAGAAGAUACCAACUUCAAUAUGGCUUUAGGCUGGUGGGUGACAGGGGAAUGAUUUCAACACUUAAAUUGUUUCCCACCUUUGCUGUAUUUAGUUUACCUUUAAAUUUCUCUGUUAUAGUUGCCUCCUUAUGCCUG
rnacentral:lncRNA from 1 species